AACUUUUUAGUAGAUCAUAUCACUUUUAGGGGUAUAGCAACUUCUGACCACACAUAUUAAAAGCUCCCAAGAGUCUAUGUAGUAAUUUUAGACAUCCUGGAAAGAAAAAUGGAAAAAAAAAAGGUGAAAAAUAAGAAAGAGCAGAGAAAACCUAGGUUGACUGUAAACACAAGGCAAUGAUUCCCAUCUCUACUACAACAAAGUUGCCCUUUGGGGAGAGCCUGGUCACAUAGGAAGGGAAGGAGAGGCGUCCUGGUUGUAUUCGCAAUGCUCUGGAGUGGGUACUCAUUUUACAGAUGAGAAAACUGAGGCACAGAGGGAGAGAGAGUCACUCAUUUGUUCAAGGCUAUGGGCAGCUAGGGAAGGAAGCAAUCAAGACUGAAAUUCAGUCUUGUCUGGAUCCAAAGACCAAGAGCAUUUUUGGUCUAGGGCAGGGUUUGUGGGACAUGGUUCUGACUCAAGCAUAGGCAGCCGAGCAGGACAGCUCCAGGACCAUUCCCAGCCUGGUGUAUUCUUCUGCCUUUCUAUCUCAUGGCGAUGUCAGACACUAGCUAUGUGGCUAGGAGAAGCCAGGGUGUGUCCCAGGUCUGCAAAGCCCACCUGCCCCCACCAGGUGAUGGUCAACAGGCCCUCCUGGCCACUGGCCCAUCUGGAUCACAAUUCUCAUUGCUACAGUGACUUUAAGAGAACAGCUGCAGUGUUGUGACAGCCUAGAGAAGGAAGCAGCAAGGAAGAAUUAAAAAAACAAAACAAAACAAAACAAAACAAAAAAACACCCCAAACACCUGUGGUGUAAGGGGCUAAAACUGUGAAUAUAUGGUUGUUUGUACUUUCCAGCCUUUUAAAAACAUGACGUUGCUUUCACAGGACUGUGGUGGAAAAACAAGGUCUUUGAAGUCACAUGAACUUGAGUUCCAAUCCUGCAUCUCCCUAGUUGGGUGACCCUGGGCGAGUCACUUCUCUUCUCUGAGCCUCAGUUUUCUCCCCUGCAGAAUGAGGGGAAAUGCUCCAUCUUGUUCUCAGGGUGAACUGAAGUGAAAGGUUCCUGCCACAUUCUUCACAACGUCUCUGCACACGGCAGGACUCAGCAAGUCCUAGUUCCCCCACACAGUAAUGCUUUGCUGAGGUCCAGGAACUCAGAGUGAGGUGGCAGGGCCCUGCUUGGGAGAAGCUGAGUGUGGAGGGGAAGGGGUCACUGUAGCCUCAGGUGAGAAGCCCCUCAAUGGAGGGAACAACCAAGUCCACGUGAUACCUGGAAGAUGGCCGUGGCGUGGCUCUCUAGCUCCCAAUCACAGCAAAAGCUGAGGAAGAGGCCAUGUUCCCCUCUGACAGAUCUAUAAUCCCUCCCCACAAUCACUUUCCAUCUCCAUCAAAACAUACCUGCCCCAUGUCUGGCUCCCCAAACCCUGUUAAGCUGUGGGGCUAAUUAAGUCAGAGAAUUUCUACAGCAGGGCCAGCGUGCCCAUGAGUUACUAGAUGGCUCCAGGCAGCAUUUGGGCAGGGGGGAGUGGAAGUAACGUACAUUUAGUACCCAAAACUUGGAAAACGCAGACAACUCAAAUAGCCCAUUCUCUAGGAACUGACCUACAGGUGACAGAAGCUUUUCACUCCUUUAGUCCUUUCCCAAGGAGUGACGCAGAUGCUGACGGAGCCGGGGUUGGGUGAAGGUUCUCUCCUAUCGCACAUCCUGGAGCCACUGCUGACUCCACUGAGGAAUGGAGCCAGCUCUGCCCACACCCACCCCAUGAAAGGACAAUUUCUCCGAUUCUCUGAGGUUGCCAGGGACAUGGAAGCCCAGGGCCACUGGCAGAACUCCCAGGCAGUCCCCCAGGCAAAGGGGCAGCAUCUCCAAAUGUUUAUAAAUGGACGGACAAACAGUUGCGAAGCUCCUGGGACAGAUGUCUGCUGGCUCCCAGGCCCCAUGACACAGGGCUGCCCCUUCUCAAGUCCCCAAGUCAAUAAUACCCCCCAGUGUGGCUGACCUCAGUGAGAUAAUAAUUGGAAAAUAAUCUGACAGCGUUAAAAGAUACUAGAGUGUGAAUGACUGAAAUGAUAGCCACGUAAUCCACAGGAACAAUACUCUCUAUCUCAAAAGGACACUGACUCAGCCAAGUGCCCCUCUAUUUCGGGAGAGGAUCACAGCAAGGUAAAGUGACAACAUGCAGGCUCUACGGUGAGUGGGAAUGGGGGAAAGUCACACCUGCAGGAAAUGUGCCCAAACCGCAGCUUCAGACCUGCUUCUUGCUUCCUUUUCCUCCCCUGCUCCCCACUGGUCCACAGGGUUUGGGGAGUGGCUGCCCAGAGCUUCGUCUUGGGAGGGGUUAGGGAGGCUGGGGUGGUGCAGGCGGCGGGAGGGGAGGGGAGUGUGAGGUGAUGGACAGCACAGACAGGUGGUUUGCAAACCAGGUGUUUCCUAAUCGGGGCCACUAAUGGUGGGGAAGUAGUGCAGGUGAGGAUUUGGAGCCCCCGGGUGGAGCAGAGGUCUUGGACCUCACAUUCACCUGCCUGCUGGGCGGCGCUUGGUCUGCGUUCCAAGUGUGGGAAACCUACAAGCAAAGAUCAGAAAGGCCUGUCAGAGGGGCUUAUGUUUUCUGGGUCACAAACUGAUGACUAGGGAUCCAGAUCUGGCUAUUUAAAUUUUAAUAUGUGUUUAAAAUUUAAUAUUUGAACAGAUCCCAGUAUUUAGAAACUGAGGAAUUGCACACAAAAGCCUGGCAUUCUAGCUUCUCUGGGGAGAGCCGCCCCUCUGGGCCAUGUGCAAAGAGGACAGUGAUGGGUUGCAGCCACGUGGCGCUGCGCCUCUAGCCCACAGAUGCUCCCAAUCCCGCCCCCCCACCCGCCUGCCCGCCCGCCCGCCUGGAGUGAGCAGCCCUGUGCUAGCAUCUGACUGAAGGACCUGCACAGCCCAGGCUGCUCUGUCCCCGACUCUCCCCUUCUCUGCUCCAGACACAUACACUGGGAAUUCUGGAUGGUGGGGGGAACGCCAGGCCAGUCCCUUGGAGAAAUCAAGGGUGAGAAGACUGAGUCAGGCUCCGGGUAAAUUUUGGGUGGGAGGCCUUGCUGUCUCCCUUUCCAAUACCCCUGCUCUCCACUCUAGGAGGCUGCAUCAAGCAGAAUCUGAGGGGUUCAUAAAGGACCUCUUGAUAAAGCUGUGGACAGGAAUGGGGCAGCUCCCCAGUGGAAGCAAAAGUGGGGGGUCCCCUGCUACCAUCCCUAGUCUGGAACAGGGUGGGAGGCAGAAAUAGUUGCCAGGCCCAGGCAUAGAGCAGGCUGCGUGGGAAGACCCCUGGCAGGAGUUGUCACCUGUGGUCCAGGCAUGCAGCCAGCCCCUGCCCCAAUUCCACAGUCUACUAGGGCUCCCCAUUGGCCAAAGCCAACAGGAAGCCAGUAGGGGAGGGAGCACGUGGGUGCAGCCCUGCAGGUCCCCUCCUGCACAGGGCGGGGUGGAGAAGGGCAGACAGUGGGUCUCCAGGGGGUGAAUGGCAGUUGUCCAGCACAGUGGCCCUGCUUCCUGCACCCAUUUCACCCACAGCAUCCACACCCCUCAGGCCCUAAGCUGAAGCUGAUCAGGUCCUUCAAGGUGUCAGAAGCUGGGCUCCAUUCCAAGGACUAUUAGUUGGUGCCAAUCCUUUCAGAGCCUCUGUUCUGCUCACCUGGCAUGAUCUUGAGCCUUCUGCCCCAUCCUCCAGCACCUGGAUCCCUGUCCACCCUCACCGGACACCCAUCAAAUUCCUCUCACUUCAGAGCCAGGCUGUCCCCUUCCCAGAAAGACAGCCUAGCCCAGAGUUCACAGAGAUCUGGGGGCAGAGCUGCAGGAAACCCACAGGCACAAGGCUGCCACAGAGCAGUCACGGGGAAAGGCGGCCAGCUGAGAGCUCCAUCCCCAUAUCCCUUCUGGGAAAAACACGAGCCUGACAAGAAGCAGCCACGUGCAGAGUUUCAGGGAACCCAGAGCUGGAAGUGGCUCUCAGAUCACCUGCUCCGGCACAUGCUCUAUAAGAUGGGGAAACUGAGGCCAGGAGAGGGGGAGGCUCACGCUGGUCACACAAUCAGAAAGUAGGAAGCUGGUAUAUUGUUGGACUGCCAGGCUGUCCCUGCCCCCAGCCUGGGACACACAAGGGCUGGGCUGUGUCAGAAGACCAGUGUCAGGUUCAGUUUUCUCAAUAAUGAUUUUUCUAGUAAGCACCAAUAUCAAGGGGUCCUGGUUCAUCCACUCCUCAUCCUACAUUGGUGAGGCAAUGAUUCCCAUGCUACAGAUGAGGAAGGUGAUCCCAGAGGGGUUACUGAACAUGACAUGCCUUAGAUCAGCAGGACAGGUGAGUUCUGGAGCGGUGGCAACAAUAUAGAUGAUAAUAAUAAUAACGAGCACUAGCGACAAGGAUGCUUUCUCCAAGCUGGCCCCAUGCUGAGGUCCUCACACACCUUAUCUUGUGAAGUGUUCUGUUGUUGGUGGGGAGUUUUUAAAUGAACUCUCCCACUUGAUCAGAAUGUGGAGGGAAUAUAUAUUUCCAGCUUUAUUGAGAUAAAAUUGAUUUAAUGUUAUGUAAGUUUAAGGUACAUGUGUUGCUUGAUAUGCUUAACAUAUGGCAAAGUGAGGAUCAGUCGCAUUAGGUAAUACCUGCAUCACAUCACAUAAUGACUAUUUGGUUUUUGCGGUAACAACAAUUAAAGAGAUAAUCUCUUUUUGAAUGAACAUUUUGUCUGGAUAUAUGCCCAGGAGUGGGGUCAUAUGGAGUUCUAAACUUUCAUCAAAAAAGAUACAUGCACCCCUAUGUCCAUUGCAUCACUAUUCACAGCAGCCAAGACACAGAAACAACCUAAAUGUCCAUUGACAGGUGAGUGGAUUAAGAAGUCAUGGUAAAUAUAUACAAUGGAAUACUACACAUCCAUAAAAAAGAACAAAAAUGCCAUUUGCUGCAACAUGGAUGGAGCUAGAGGCUCUCAUACUAAGUGAAGUAAGUCAUAAAGAGAAAGACAAAUAUCAUAUGAUAUCAUUUAUAAAUAUCAUUUAUAUCAUUUAUAUGGCACAAAUGAACCUGUCGACAGAAAAAACAAAAAACAAGGUCAUGAACAUGGAGAACAGACUUGUGGUUGCCUAGGGGGAGGAAGUGGGAUAAACUGGGAGUUUGGGGUUAUCUUAACUGGCUAGGACCAGCUUUGCGGUUAUUUAGACGCUCUAUUUCGUUCUACAUGCUUAUUUUCCAACCCUCUACCUGACCUCUCAGCCCACACGAGGCAGGAAGCAGAAUCAGCCACCUGUCACCCUCAGUGCCCUUUGGUGACGUUCAAGGGCCUCCCUAGGAUUGCAGGGCCUUGGUGGGGAGCACUCGGGCACACAAUGGCAAGGGCCCCAUCUGCGGGCGGCCAGGCUGCUCAAUGGCAGGGCCCUGUCUUCCCCAACGGGGACUGCUGGGAUGAAAGAUUGAUGAGCAAUCUGUCCUCGCUGGUGAAUUUUUAAUUAUGGAAGAAAGGAGACCCCGGCCCUGGCCUGGCCAGGACUUCAGGGAGGGUGUGCUUGGGUGUCACCACUGCUAACAUGUGAUCCACACUGACAGCAGCUAUGAACCCUGCGUUCACAUUUUUCUGUCCAUAAAUACAGGUGAAGGGCUAGGGUGAGGGGUUAUAGGUGGGAAAACUGCGAGACCCCCAGCUUGGAAAGUUCUGCAGGGACAUGAGGGUAAGUGAGACUGGGUCUCCAGAAGGCCUGGGGCAAGUCUGGGCACAGGGAGGUGGGGAUGGGGCCCAAAGGCCACGCCGGCUGUCCGUCUACAGCUCUAGCUCUUCUAACCUGCAGAUGACUGCACCUCGUGCCCUGGAUCCUCUUCCAGUGAACCGGGCUAAGCUUGGAGGAUGGCCCUGGGGCGGUGUCCCCAACCCCCAGGCUUUAGGUCACUGGCCCAGGAGAGCAGGAACAAGUCACUGGCCCAUGUUCAGGAACAAGUCACUUUAACCUCCUGUGCCUCAGUUUUCUCCUCCACAAAAUGGGAAUAGAAACAGCUACUGGUGAGGACAGUGGUGAAGGUGAAUGAGAGGAUGGAGGGAAAACAAGGAGGGCUGUGCCCAGCACACAGUGAAUUCGUAAUAAAUAUCCACCAAAGCGAGGAAGAAUAAGCCACCAGCUCUGUUCUCAAAUCGCUUAAAACCUAGUGGGGAUCUCACGCU
rnacentral:lncRNA from 1 species